rnacentral:rRNA from 1 species
UAGUCCACGCCGUAAACGAUGGUCACUAGCUGUUCGAACUUCGGUUUGAGUGGCUAAGCGAAAGUGAUAAGUGACCCACCUGGGGAGUACGUUCGCAAGAAUGAAACUCAAAGGAAUUGACGGGGCCCGCACAAGCGGUGGAGCAUGUGGUUUAAUUCGAUGAUACGCGAGGAACCUUACCAGGGCUUAAAUGUAAGUUGCAUUAGGCAGAGAUGCUUAUUUCUUCGGACUACUUACAAGGUGCUGCAUGGUUGUCGUCAGCUCGUGCCGUGAGGUGUCAGGUUAAGUCCUAUAACGAGCGCAACCCCUGUUGUUAGUUGCCAGCAUGUAAAGAUGGGAACUCUGACAAGACUGCCGGUGCAAACCGUGAGGAAGGUGGGGAUGACGUCAAAUCAUCACGGGCCCUUACGUCCUGGGGCUACACACGUGCUACAAUGGUAGGUACAGAGAGCAGCCAAUGCGCGAGCAUGAGCGAAUCUAUAAAACCU